rnacentral:sRNA from 1 species
AUGCCCUAGCUACACAAAAACCUCUCCAUCUUUUUAUAAUCCUCCUCUAGUAACCUUAGUUGAAUGGCAGGAUAAAUUUUAAGGGGGGAGAAAAUAAGACCAGCAAAUUAUGGAUCGGAUCAGUUGUGCAUCAUGAGUCAUUGUCAUACUUGCAUCUUGAACAACCGCACCAAUUCUCGUUUGCAAGCCAAUGCAUCGUGUUUGUGCCAUACUCAGUGCCCAAAUGAGGGCUCGGCGUUGCUGUUCCCUCAUAGUUGAAGCAAGAUUGGGAUCUUGUAGUUCUGAAAGCUCCUCCUGUAACACAUAUAUGAAGCAGAAGCAAAGAAAAGCAUGAAUAAAUUAACCAAAAUUUUUACGAGAAAGUUUGAAACAAUGAGUAUUAUGUUCUGUAAAUUAAUCUACCUCACUAGCUAGAAGCAGGCUGGGGCACUCAUCUGCAAUGGGUAGAAAAUCACCGUACAGCUGUCAAAAGUUAACUUCCUUAUCAAAUGCGUAUAAAAGAAGGCAUGCUAACCUCAG